rnacentral:rRNA from 1 species
UACGUAGGCAGCGAGCGUUGUUCGGAGUUACUGGGCGUAAAGGGUGUGUAGGCGGUUGUUUAAGUUUGGUGUGAAAUCUCCCGGCUCAACUGGGAGGGUGCGCCGAAUACUGAAUGACUAGAGUGCGGGAGAGGAAAGUGGAAUUCCUGGUGUAGCGGUGAAAUGCGUAGAUAUCAGGAGGAACACCGGUGGUGUAGACGGCUUUCUGGACCGUAACUGACGCUGAGACACGAAAGCGUGGGUAGCAAACAGG